rnacentral:rRNA from 1 species
AUUGAACGCUGGCGGCAGGCCUAACACAUGCAAGUCGAACGAGUGGCGGACGGGUGAGUAAUGUCUGGGAAAAUGCCCGAUGGAGGGGGAUAACUACUGGAAACGGUAGCUAAUACCGCAUACCAUCGGAUGUGCCCAGAUGGGAUUGGCUAGUAGGAGGGGUAACGGCUCACCUAGGCGACGAUCCCUAUCUGGUCUGAGAGGAUGACCGGCCACACUGGAACUGAGACACGGUCCAGACUCCUACGGGAGGCAGCAGUGGGGAAUAUUGCGCAAUGGGCGCAAGCCUGAUGCAGCCAUGCCGCGUGUAUGAAGAAGGCCUUCGGGUUGUAAAAUACUUUCAGCGAGGAGGCGGUACUCGCACAAGAAGCCCCGGCUAACUCCGUGCCAGCAGCCGCGGUAAUAC